rnacentral:ribozyme from 1 species
AAUAUACAGGACUCUGUAAUGGGAUGGAAUCCGAAGCCCCUUUGAGGGAUAAUACAGGCUCUCCCAUCCAAC